rnacentral:lncRNA from 1 species
AUCUCAAUAGAGUAUCAACGAUGACAGAGACGACAUUGAUCGGAGUAAAUCGGAUUUAGCCCGGCGAUAUCGAUCAUGAGACCAUGUUUCUCGGUGGAUAACAAGUAUAAGUAAAUGGAGAUGUAGAAAUAGCUUACGAACCUUUAUAAGCAUGGCCUUGGAGAUUAGGUGGCCAUGAUAUUGGAUGUUGGUGGAUAUACUGUGGCGUAAUCCCUGCAGUAAUAUGUGAAUUUUGAGGACUCUAAGUGAUUAUUUAGAAUCCCAUGAAUACUAGAUUUGUAGGAGAAAAGGGUCAAGUGCAUAUUGGUGGAAUGAUGAUACACUUGAUUGGAUUCGUAGGAAGGAAACCAAACCUUCGAUUGGUAUACUACGUGUUUCCUUAAUGUAGGAAUGCAGUACCCUGUCGAUGGGAUACUCGAGAUGAGCACUUGGAUUGUAGCAUCUCUGUUCAAGCUUAGCAGCUUGUAUGCCUUUUCGAGGACUUUUACAUAAGGAUACAUGUGCAACUUAGCCAUAGUACACUAUAAGAUUUAAGUCAUGAUCUUUUCCUCAUAUCCUAGAGUUGACCAACAUGGAUAAGGUGGAGUUGAUUUAUGUGAGUUGAUACUGUCGAUGAUAUGAGGUGAUUUUGUCUGGACUGAGAGGUUAGACUUUUGGCAUCUAAGGAACGCGCUUAGGGAUAGGACGAUACACGUUCACUCAUAUCCUAUGUUCCUUAAAAUCCCAGACUCCACCGAUCGCCAUGCCUCUAGAGAGCGAGCCAUUGCAACCCUCCUGUAGCCGAAGACAAUUCCCCGCAGACGAGGUGAAGCAUCGACGCGAUUGAGAAGCCACGACAAUGGAGAAGAAACAACAAGGUUCAUUGCAACUCCUAUGCCAUAUAUGCCGC